CCUACGGGGGGCUGCAGUGGGGAAUAUUGGACAAUGGGGGGAACCCUGAUCCAGCCAUGCCGCGUGUGUGAAGAAGGCCCUCGGGUUGUAAAGCACUUUCAGUGAGGAAGAACGCCUGGUGGUUAAUACCCAUCAGGAAAGACAUCACUCACAGAAGAAGCACCGGCUAACUCCGUGCCAGCAGCCGCGGUAAUACGGAGGGUGCGAGCGUUAAUCGGAAUUACUGGGCGUAAAGCGCGCGUAGGUGGCUUGAUAAGCCGGUUGUGAAAGCCCCGGGCUCAACCUGGGAACGGCAUCCGGAACUGUCAAGCUAGAGUGCAGGAGAGGAAGGUAGAAUUCCCGGUGUAGCGGUGAAAUGCGUAGAGAUCGGGAGGAAUACCAGUGGCGAAGGCGGCCUUCUGGACUGACACUGACACUGAGGUGCGAAAGCGUGGGUAGCAAACAGGAUUAGAUACCUGAGUAGUC
rnacentral:rRNA from 1 species